CCUACGGGAGGCAGCAGUGAGGAAUAUUGGUCAAUGGACGAGAGUCUGAACCAGCCAAGUAGCGUGAAGGAUGACUGCCCUAUGGGUUGUAAACUUCUUUUAUAUGGGAAUAAAAUGUUCCACGUGUGGGAUUUUGUAUGUACCAUAUGAAUAAGGAUCGGCUAACUCCGUGCCAGCAGCCGCGGUAAUACGGAGGAUCCGAGCGUUAUCCGGAUUUAUUGGGUUUAAAGGGAGCGUAGGUGGAUUGUUAAGUAAGUUGUGAAAGUUUGCGGCUCAACCGUAAAAUUGCAGUUGAAACUGGCAGUCUUGAGUACAGUAGAGGUGUGCGGAAUUCGUGGUGUAGCGGUGAAAUGCUUAGAUAUCACGAAGAACUCCGAUUGCGAAGGCAGUUCACUGGACUGCAACUGACACUGAGGCUCGAAAGUGUGGGUAUCAAACAGGAUUAGAUACCCGAGUAGUC
rnacentral:rRNA from 1 species